CCAACGGCUCUUUUAAGAGCCACCCACAUCUAUCUGAAGAGCCAAAU
rfam:Poecilia formosa, whole genome shotgun sequence.